GCCCCCUCGUGCGUGAGGCGGGAAGGCACAGAGCGGGCAGGCAGCCGGGGCUGAGGGGAGGGACAGCGAGGGUGCGCGGCCGCGGGACCCAGCCCGCCUCUGGACACCACUCGCCCGGAGUAGCAGCGUCCCUUCCCCAGGGCACACUGUGUGCUAGGACGGAGCCCUGUUCUCAGGGAAUGUAAAAGGACUGAAAUCAGGCCACGCUCGUUCUCCGACCACAACGGACUUCGUCAUGAGCGCGCUCUAAAGGCGCGGGCAGGAGGUGUCUUUGCAGUCAGUUUUGCUCAGUUGUAAAGGAAUGGUAGCAAUUGUAAAGUAGGUUCAGGAUUCCAAGCUCAGUGACGUUGCAUUACACGUUGAACUUGGCUUCCUGCACGUCACAUAAAGUGUAGGUGACACGCAACAAACGAGAGAGAACGGGGUACGAAGUUUGUGAGCCAACCGCAAAGCCGGUUGAGAUGAAGCCUGGGUCUGGUCCGAAACGACUCAGCGGUCCUCGCACGCUGCUCACUCUUCAAGCGGGCAGUACCUCUGCUUGGUUCAGAAAUCCAUCGGGCCGAGUCUCCUGGGGCAGGUCUUAAGCUCUCAGACGUCGGUUGGAUUUGCCAGCGUCUGGAGAGUCUGAAGGUUGGCUACGGAACUCCUCCCUUCUUAAAGGAAUGUAAUCAGCUUCAGGUCUUUUCCAGACCUUCUCUGGUUCUAGUGAUUAUCGGUGCCUGGUUCUUCCAGGUUCCAUGGCCUUGUGGGUUAUCAGGCCUUAGUUCUGCCCGUCUGCGCUGGUUUGGGUGAGUUCUCUUGGCUGCUUUCCCAAUUACACCACAACUUGGCAUGAGUGACUCCAUCUUGCACUCUACAGAACUAAAGUAGAAAUCAGCAGCGGAAGGAAACCAGAGAAAGUCACAGUUGUGUGGACAUUGAGCAGCUGUCCACAGUAACUAAUGGGGCAAAGAGAAAGUCAGGACAAGUAAGACGCUUGUGGAUGAAAAGAAAAACCUGUGCUAAAGCUGGUGUGCUGGCAGCUAAUGCAGCGCUUGGAGGGAAAUCUAUGAAAAAACCCCCAUGUUAAAAAAAGAUGUCUCGGAUCUAGCCUUUGGCCAUUUGAAAUGAGAGAAGAAAAACAAACUAAAAAAAAAAAAGACAAAAAUAUUGACUAGGGCAGGAAUAAAUAGAAAACAGAAAAGCAGUGGAGGAAAACUACAAAACCAAAAGUUGGUUCCUUGAAAAGGUCAACACACGACAACUUGAGCUGCAUUGACCAGCCAUCCUGGGCCCCGACCAGAAAGUGCAGCCCCAAGCCGUGUGACCCCAGCCCUGGGCGUGACCCGAGGCCCGGAUGUGACCCCAGACCCGGCCCAGGGCAUCUCCCUCAUCGUCUCUCUCCGUCGGGAGCCAGUGCGCACGGUGCCCUGUUUGCGUCCGGGAGCUCCAAGCCUGGAGAACACGGUGGACACCUCAGUCUCGGGCUGCGCAGACCUGUCCUCUGGGUUUCAGCGUUUGUCCCCGGGACCUGCUGCUCCGAGGCCGUGCAGAUGCGGGGCGUCCUGUUCCGACCCAGCUCUUCAGGUGCAGUUGGUAGCGGACGCCGAGCGCACCUGCUGCCCCGUGGCCGCCCCGCUGCUCGGACGCUCUGAACCUUUCAGUGGACUAACCGCAAGUUUUUUGCUUGGUUUUGCCUUUCUUGUACUUUUCCAAGAAGAGAGGUUCGAAUGUGCAGGAAGGAACCCCCUGGUCUCAGUCACGGUCUCCUGGCCGUGAGUGUGCGGCACCCAUGAGUGACUGGAAAUCGCUCGUCAGCCGCGCCCAGCGCCCGGGUCGCCGGGCAGGGGGGUCUCGGCGGCCUCGUGUCCCUGCACCUGUGAGGGUUUCCACAAGAACACGGAAGGGGAAACUUCCGGUUUUCCUCUGAAAGGGGAAGCUGGGAUCGACCAUGA